CCAGCCAUAGCACGUUAAAACAUCGGUUUUUGUACGAUCACCAAAAUUAAGCAACAUCGAGCCUAGUCAGUACCUAGAUGGGUGACACUUGGGAAUAUCAGGUGUCGUAAG